GAGUUAGAGGCAAGCACGACUCCAACAUGUAAAUACACUAGGAAACGGAAUCUCACUUCACGUGGACACAAUUCCAAACUGCUUACAGGUGCGUGCAUGCAAAUAAGAUUUAUAGAGUAGGAUACAACAUACAGAAUUCCACAACCAUGGAAAACCAAACACAUCUAGCCAGCCAAACCAGGCACACACCCAAGAAAGUAGAAGCCAGCCCAAACUACGGGACCAAAACACAAUCACAAAAAUCAAAGUCAGCCAAUUCUAUGCCUGAUAAAGAUCGAAGCCAGGAAAAACCAAAGUUUCACGUGCAACUUGGUGCCGAUGCCGGAUGAAGUCAUAUGCCCCAACCUUUUGAGUUGCUUCUCACCUGAAUCAUCAAGUCAGGUACCUAUUUUUUAGUGAACUAACUUAUUCUGGAUUAAAUCAUCAACUGUACUUUCUUAAACAGCAACUAUGUUUCUGUUGCUUUUGAAGCUAAUACACAAUUCUACAACUUUUGAGCUUAUGAGGUUUGACAUGAUCUUGGUUGAUGAACAUGUUUAUUCUUUACAUAUUUAACUGAGAAUUAUUCUAUCUAAUUAUAUUUUGAUUGUUCUAACAGGGCAUACAAUGCAUGCAACAGUCUGGAAGAAUCUCUAGGCAUUUAUAAAGCAUUUUUAGUCAGAGAUCUACAUAUGCAACUUAGCAAUUUUAACCCAUAAAAUAUAGCCUGGUGAGCAAUGCAAUUGAAAAUAUUUUUUCACAUGUAAGAUGUCAAAUAAGGUGAAAGAAACACCAGAACUUUUAUCUAGAUUACUGUUUUGAAUUUCUAUCCAAGGACACGCUACGAGACGGGGAAAGAUAAUUCCUACAAGAACGAAGAAAGAUAAACAAUGCCCAGGUAUUGAAACCAACUUACAACUAAUUAUUCUUUCUGACGGUUACCACAAUUAAUCUCCAAAUUUACAUUCCAGAUUACUUAUAUAUAUAGCUAUCAUUAUUGUGACCUUCCUAAUGGUUUUCAAUGGUAAGUCCAGUAAUAUACAUGCUCUUCCGCUUUUCAUGAAAAAAAACCAAUGUUUGAGAGAUUCACUGUUGACUUAACAGUUUUUUAUCUAAAGUCAAGAGAUGCCACAAGAAUGUUUAGACAUUCCCAAGAAUCAGGAACUUCUUAACAGGUAUGAGCUAUGUUUUUAAGGCGGUAAGGCGAGGCGAGGCGCUGGGGGGGCGCCUCACUGCCUAAGCGCGGAGGCAUAAGGCGAGGCGACGCCUUAGAGACUUGUAAGCAACAGAAUUAAGUAGAAUUUGGUAGGCAUUAAGCAACUAGGCAUACAACCAUACACACCUUGCAACUGAUUGUUGUAGAGCCCCCAUCCUCUUUGCACUUGCUUUUCUCCCCAACAGAAUUCUGCAUCAACAUGUAGUCAUGAACAAAUAUGUUAGAAUAAUGUAUCACUUACCAGUGCACAUUCCACAAAAAAUAGAAAUAAAAGUGAGGCAGCAAACAAAAGUGGAAAGAAAGAUAGCAAGUAUGAGUGCAACUGCAAUCUGCAAUGGUCCACAUAAGACAAACAGAAUAAUAGAUAAUUCCACAUAAGACAAACAGAAUAAUAGAUAAUUCCAGCAUAGCAAAAGGGAUAAAGGUGGCCAGCUAAGCUCUCUCAUGUCUCUCCACUCUCAAAGUCUCAAUCAAAAGUCAUCAUCAUCAAACUCAUUGGCAUUGGUGUUGUCUUCACCAUCUUGGUCAACAUUAGUUGGCUCUUGAUCGUCAUUGCUCACAUCAUCAUCAUCCUCAACGUAGUCUGAAUCCUCCCCCUCCGCAUUGGGCAUACUUGAGUGUUGCUCUUGCUCCAAGUCCUCCUCUACCUCAUCUUCUUCAGGAAUUAUAGGUCGUGUUGUAGUAGGUCUCUUGCGUGCGUAGUGCAGACGGACAUUUUUCUGGCCCCUACGAAGUGUAGUUGCUGUCCUAUGCAGAUUGCGGCCUCGAAGGUUUGAAGAUGCACCAAUAGCCACAUCAACAUCCUCCCAUGUAAUGUCUUGAUUGUCUUCAGGACAACCUCGAGCACCUUGAGGUUGUGAUAGUGAUGGGUCCACCCACUCAUUGCCCCAAUCAAAAUCCUCAAUGACCAAAGCCUCAAAGCUAUUCUCGCCCACCUUCUCACGCCUCUUUUGAAACCGUUGCAUAUUCUUCCGGUUGUAUGAAACAAAGACAAGAUCAUUCAACCUUUUCCAUUGUAAUCUGUUCAUUUUCUUUGUAUGGAUCUACAAAGUAGAAACAACAAGUGAAAUAAGUAAAUAACUUGCUGAAAUCAUCAUUGAACAAACACAAAUACUGCUUUACUAGUUGACUUACAAAUUCAAACGUGCUCCAAUUCCUCUCACAACCAGAUGAUGAAGCACAAAGACUAACAAUGCGCUUUGCAAACCUUUGUAGGUCAAUGGCCCGACCAUCAAAUGAACUCCACCAAUCAACUAAAAUGAUAAAAACUGACACAUAUUAAGAGUUUGUACAGAAAUUACAUUGCUGGAACUGGAAUUAACAUGCUGAAAUUAACAUGAUGCAUUUAAUAUGACUUACGAGGGUUUCUUGUGCUCAUGGUAUCGAGUGCCAAUGGAUUAGAAAAACUUUCUCGCUGUUGCUCAUAGAGCACAGAUUGUUGAUCAAUCUUUUUUCGAACAUUGGCAUCCGGUACCAUUUUUGCAAGCACAUCAUUAAAGCAGCUCCUAAGGUCCCCAACUAAAGCAUCAUCAUUUCUGCUUACAAUAGGAAAUAACUUUCCUGGGUUCAAAAAUAGAGCAGCCCCAUACAAUGGAUGAUCCAUUUGAUUCUCCCAACGCUUAUCAACAAUGGCCAAGAUCUUCUUGAGCAAUGGUUGCUUGUUUUGUUGAGGGAAACCUAGAUUGAUCCUCUCCUUUGCAUAAAUCAUAAGUGCUUUAAUCUCUGGCAUGGCAGGCUUCUCAUCACCAUCUGCUACUCUAAGAACUCUAAGAAGUGGAGUUGAAGCUCUAAGGCAGUCCUCAAUUGCGCUCCACCACUCCGUUGAAAGUAUAAUCUCUUGCACAUUCAAGCCAACUUGUGUUUUUGCUAACUUGUUUCCAACCCAUUCUUCAGAUGUAAAUAAACUCCUCAAUGCAGCCUUGUUCUUGACCAAACUCCUAAGUGUGAGGAUGGCUGUGGCAAAACGAGUGGCUGCUGGUCUCACAAGAUCCCCACCCGUGGCCUUCCUCAUUAGACUAAGAAGUCUUCCAUGUCUAUAGAUGAAAGUUGUGACACGUCUAGCCCCUGCAAUAGGCUUCUUAAAUGCCUUCAACUUUCCUAUAUCUUCCAACAUUAGGUCCAAGCAAUGACAUGCACACGGGCUCCAAUAUAGAGUAGGCAUCCUCUCCAUUAGAAGGUGGCCAUCUUUCUUGUAAUUAGCACCAUUAUCGAUGAUAACUUGUACCACAUUCUCUUUUCCAACAUCCAGAAUCCUCUUCUCAAGCAAAUCAGCUAUCAUAUCACCAUCAUGACAUACACUUGAGGCAUCAACCGACUCCAAGAAGAAAGUGCCCUCUGGACUAUUAACAAGGAAGUUAAUCAAAUGGCGUCCUCUUUUAUCCAACCAGCCAUCCGACAUGAGUGUGCAUCCAUAUUUUUUCCAUGCUGCCUCGUGUUGCCUCCUCAAAAGUCUUGUUUCCUUCACACAAUCAUUAAGCAAUUUCUCUCUCAGCUCAUGUGCACUAGGAGGCUUGUAACCUGACCCAUAUUGACAAGAGGCUUCAAUUGCAACCUCAAACUGCCUACUACUUGCAGUGUUGAAUGGAAUGCCACACUCGUAAAAGAACAAUGCCCACUACAUAUUGACAUACUGCCUCUCUUCUGGAGUCUUUGUGCUGGACUCCAUGGUGCUUUGAGAACACCCAGAGCGUCUUUCAUCUACAAGAUCCUCGGGUGUUCUUCGUAGCUUGGCAACAAUUGGCGGCAGACACAACAGAAACAGACUUCUUUUUACCUUGCAUGUCGGUGAUAAACACUUUCUUAUUCUGUUUGGCUGCUGUCCCUGAGCUUGGCCUUUUAGAGGCGAUGUUUGCUCCAACUGAACUCACCUCCACAACCUCCUCAACAUCAUCUACAUCUACUACCUCUGUUUUCAAGGCAUCCCUAAGGCGUCGCCUAGGCGACGCUUAGGCAUCGUCAGGGCACCCUGCGAGGGCAAGGCGUCCACCUCGCCUUAGGUGGGUGUCUAAGGCGUCCGCCUUAAGCUAUAAGGCGUCCCAGGCGUCUGCCUAGGCGUCCCAGGCGUUGCCUUAGUCCAUUUUGGACGCCUUAGCUUGCCAGGCAGGCAGGGGAGCUGUUUUAGGCGGGAAACUGGAAUCAUGUUGGCGCCAACAGGUAAGAGGGGAGAAAGAGAGAAAGAGAAACAGCCCCCAAUCCACACACUCCUCCCCCUCCUUCUCUUCAGUGGCUCCUCUCUAGCAGAUCUGGUUCCUCCUCCUCUCCAGCAGCUCCUCCCCCUCCUCUCCAACGGUUCCUCCUCUCCAGCAGCUCCUCCUCUUCCUCCUGUCCAGCAGCUCCUCGUCCUCUUCCUCCUGUCCAGCAGCUCCUCCUCAUCUUCCUGUCCAGCAGCACCUCCUCUGCAGUAUAGCAACAACAAGCAAGAGCAACAGUAAGGUAUACCUCCAUCUCCCUUCUCCCACACCCUCCUCUGCUCUCUUUCUUCUUUGCUGGACUGUUUUGUUCUAGCUAGUUGGUGGUUGCUCACUUGUCUCUUAUAGUGGUUAGUGCCUUAGUGGCCAGGCAUAUGUUAGUAAUUAGUUUAAUGAUAGUGGGGUUAGUGCCUUAGUGGAUGCUCCUUGGUUGAAUAAAAUAAUGCAUGUUGUUGGCCUGUUGGGUGGAUUAGAAUAAAGGCUAGUUGAAUACUGAUGCAUGAUGUGUUGUGCUCAAUAAUGGAUUAGUUUAAUGACUAGUUGAAUGCUGAUUAGUUUAAUGGCUAGUUGAUUGUCGCUGUUUGCUACAUCUGCAUGAGUAGAGUAAUUUAGUUGCUGCCACAGCAGCCUUUUCAUAUGCCAUGGCAGCCCUUUUAUCAGUUAUGCUAAUAUUCCUUUGUGUUUGGUUGUUUGCUGCAGGUAGUAGAAGUGUAGCACCAUGGAUGGAAAUGCAGCAGCUGAUGGGGGUGAGCCCACCUACGAUCCAAUGAAAGAUCCAACAAGGAAGCCACAACGGUCAAAUGAUCCGGGAUGGAACUAUGGAUAUUGGUCUGAGCCUCCAAAUCGGGAUCUUGUUAUGUGCGCUCUUUGUGGCAAGAUAACUUCUGGAGGGAUCAAGAGGCAUAAAGAGCAUCUUGCGGGCGUCGGGGGAGAUGCAAUUGGUUGUCCUAAGGCCACCACACAAUUGAGGAGCGAAAUGGGAACAUAUUUGGAGCAAAAUAGGAGGAUCAAGGGAGUAGUAGAUGUAGAUGAUGUUCAGGAGGUUGUGGAGGUGAGUUCAGUUGGAGCAAACAUCACCUCUAAAAGGCCAAGCUCAGGGACAGCAGCCAAACAGAAUAAGAAAGCAUUUAUCACCAACAUGCAAGGUAAAAAGAAGCCUGUUUCUGUUGUGUCUGCCGCCAAUAGUUCCAAGCCAAUUGUUGCCAAGCUACGAAGAACACCCUAGGAUCUUGUAGAUGAAAGACGCUCUGGGUGUUCUCAAAGCACCAUGGAGUCCAGCACAAAGACUCUAGAAGAGAGGCAGUAUGUCAAUAUGCAGUGGGCAUUGUUCUUUUACGAGUGUGGCAUUCCAUUCAACGCUGCAAGUAGUAGGCAGUUUGAGGUUGCAAUUGAAGCCUCUUGUCAAUAUGGGUCAGGUUACAAGCCUCCUAGUGCACAUGAGCUGAGAGAGAAAUUGCUUAAUGAUUGUGUGAAGGAAACAUGACUUUUGAGGAGGCAACACGAGGCAGCAUGGAAAAAAUAUGGAUGCACACUCAUGUCGGAUAGCUGGUUGGAUAAAAGAGGACGCCAUUUGAUUAACUUCCUUGUUAAUAGUCCAGAGGGCACUUUCUUCUUGGAGUCGGUUGAUGCCUCAAGUGUAUGUCAUGAUGGUGAUAUGAUAGUUGAUUUGCUUGAGAAGAGAAUUCUGGAUGUUGGAAAAGAGAAUGUGGUACAAGCUAUCACCGAUAAUGGUGCUAAUUACAAGAAAGCUGGCCACCUUCUAAUGGAGAGGAUGCCUACUCUAUAUUGGAGCCCGUGUGCAUGUCAUUGCUUGGACCUAAUGUUGGAAGAUAUAGGAAAGUUGAAGGCAUUUAAGAAGCCUAUUGCAGGGGCUAGACGUGUCACAACUUUCAUCUAUAGACAUGGAAGACUUCUUAGUCUAAUGAGGAAGGCCACGGGUGGGGAUCUUGUGAGACCAGCAGCCACUCAUUUUGCCAUAGCCAUCCUCACACUUAGGAGUUUGGUCAAGAACAAGGCUGCAUUGAGGAGUUUAUUUACAUCUGAAGAAUGGGUUGGAAACAAGUUAGCAAAAACACAAGUUGGCUUGAAUGUGCAAGAGAUUAUACUUUCAACGGAGUGGUGGAGCGCAAUUGAGGACUGCCUUAGAGCUUCAACUCCACUUCUUAGAGUUCUUAGAGUAGCAGAUGGUGAUGAGAAGCCUGCCAUGCCAGAGAUUAAAGCACUUAUGAUUUAUGCAAAGGAGAGGAUCAAUCUAGGUUUCCCUCAACAAAACAAGCAACCAUUGCUCAAGAAGAUCUUGGCCAUUGUUGAUAAGCGUUGGGAGAAUCAAAUGGAUCAUCCAUUGUAUGGGGCUGCUCUAUUUUUGAACCCAGGAAAGUUCUUUCCUAUUGUAAGCAGAAAUGAUGAUGCCUUAGUUGGGGAGCUUAGGAGCUGCUUUAAUGAUGUGCUUGCAAAAAUGGUACCGGAUGCCAAUGUUCGAAAAAAGAUUGAUCAACAAUCUGUGCUCUAUGAGCAACAGCGAGAAAGCUUUUCUAAUCCAUUGGCACUCGAGACCAUGAGCACAAGAAACCCUCGUAAGUCAUAUUAAAUGCAUCAUGUUAAUUUCAGCAUGUUAAUUCCAGUUCCAGCAAUGUAAUUUCUGUACAAACUCUUAAUAUGUGUCAGUUUUUAUCAUUUUAGUUGAUUUGUGGAGUUCAUUUGGUGGUCGGGCCAUUGACCUACAAAGGUUUGCAAAGCGCAUUGUUAGUCUUUGUGCUUCAUCAUCUGGUUGUGAGAGGAAUUGGAGCACGUUUGAAUUUGUAAGUCAACUAGUAAAGCAGUAUUUGUGUUUGUUCAAUGAUGAUUUCAGCAAGUUAUUUACUUAUUUCACUUGUUGUUUCUACUUUGUAGAUCCAUACAAAGAAAAGGAACAGAUUCCAAUGGAAAAGGUUGAAUGAUCUUGUCUUUGUUUCAUACAACCGGAAGAAUAUGCAACGGUUUCAAAAGAGGCGUGAGAAGGUGGGCGAGAAUAGCUUUGAGGCUUUGGUCAUUGAGGAUUUUGAUUGGGGCAAUGAGUGGGUGGACCCAUCACUAUCACAACCUCAAGGUGCUCGAGGUUGUCCUGAAGACAAUCAAGACAUUACAUGGGAGGAUGUUGAUGUGGCUAUUGGUGCAUCUUCAAACCUUCGAGGCCGCAAUCUGCAUAGGACAGCAACUACACUUCGUAGGGGCCAGACAAAUGUCCGUCUCCACUACGCACGCAAGAGACCUACUACAACACGACCUAUAAUUCCUGAAGAAGAUGAGGUAGAGGAGGACUUGGAGCAAGAGCAACACUCAAGUAUGCCCAAUGCGGAGGGGGAGGAUUCAGACUACGUUGAGGAUGAUGAUGAUGUGAGCAAUGACGAUCAAGAGCCAACUAAUGUUGACCAAGAUGGUGAAGACAACACCAAUGCCAAUGAGUUUGAUGAUGAUGACUUUUGAUUGAGACUUUGAGAGUGGAGAGACAUGAGAGAGCUGAGCUGGCCACCUUUAUCCCUUUUGCUAUGCUGGAAUUAUCUAUUAUUCUGUUUGUCUUAUGUGGAAUUAUCUAUUAUUCUGUUUGUCUUAUGUGGACCAUUGCAGAUUGCAGUUGCACUCAUACUUGCUAUCUUUCUUUCCACUUUUGUUUGCUGCCUCACUUUUAUUUCUAUUUUUUGUGGAAUGUGCACUGGUAAGUGAUGCAUUAUUCUAACAUAUUUGUUCAUGACUUCAUGUUGAUGCAGAAUUCUGUUGGGGAGAAAAGCAAGUGCAAAGAGGAUGGGGGCUCUACAACAAUCAGUUGCAAGGUGUGUAUGGCUGUAUGCCUAGUUGCUUAAUGCCUACCAAAUUCUACUUAAUUCUGUUGCUUACAAGUCUCUAAGGCGUCGCCUCGCCUUAUGCCUCAGCGCUUAGGCAGUGAGGCGCCCCCCCAGCGCCUCGCCUCGCCUUACCGCCUUAAAAACAUAGUCUACUACUCCCUUGAUCCUCCUAUUUUGCUUCAAAUAUGUUCCCAUUUCUCUCCUCAAUUGUGUGGUGGCCUUAGGACAACCAAUUGCAUCUCCCCCGACGCCCGCAAGAUGCUCUUUAUGCCUCUUGAUCCCUCCAGAAGUUAUCUUGCCACAAAGAGCGCACACAAUAAGAUCCCGAUUUGGAGGCUCAGACCAAUAUCCAUAGUUCCAUCCCGGAUACCGUUGUGGCUUCCUUGUUGGAUCUUUCAUUGGAUCGUAGGUGGGCUCACCCCCAUCAGCUGCUGCAUUUCCAUCCAUGGUGCUACACUUCUACUACCUGCAGCAAACAACCAAACACAAAGGAAUAUUAGCAUAACUGAUAAAAGGGCUGCCAUGGCAUAUGAAAAGGCUGCUGUGGCAGCAACUAAACUACUCUACUCAUGCAGAUGUAGCAAACAGCGACAAUCAACUAGCCAUUAAACUAAUCAGCAUUCAACUAGUCAUUAAACUAAUCCAUUGUUGAGCACAACACAUCAUGCAUCAGUAUUCAACUAGCCUUUAUUCUAAUCCACCCAACAGGCCAACAACAUGCAUUAUUUUAUUCAACCAAGGAGCAUCCACUAAGGCACUAACCCCACUAUCUUUAACUAAUCACUAACAUAUGCCUGGCCACUAAGGCACUAACCACUAUAAGAGACAAGUGAGCAACCACCAACCAGCUAGCACAAAACAGUCCAGCAAAGAAGAAAGAGAGCAGAGGAGGGUGUGGGAGAAGGGAGAGGGAGGUAUACCUUACUGUUGCUCUUGCUUGUUGUUGCUGUACUGCAGAGGAGGAGCUGCUGGACAGGAGGAUGAGGAGGAGCUGCUGGACAGGAGGAAGAGGAGGAGGAGCUGCUGGACAGGAGGAAGAGGAGGAGCUGCUGGAGAGGAGGAACCGUUGGAGAGGAGGGGGAGGAGCUGCUGGAGAGGAGCAGGAACCAGAUCUGCUGGAGAGGAGCCACUAAAGAGAAGGAGGGGGAGGAGUGUGUGGAUUGGGGGCUGUUUCUCUCUCUCUCUUUCUCCCCUCUUACCUGUUGGCGCCAACAUGAUUCCAGUUUCCCGCCUAAAAUAGCUCCCCUGCCUGCCUGGCAAGCUAAGGCGUACAAAAUGGACUAAGACAACGCCUCGGACGCCUAGGCAGACGCCUCGGACGCCUUAUAGCUUAAGGCGGACGCCUUAGACACCCACCUAAGGCGAGGUGGACGCCUUGCCCUCGCAGGGCGCCCUGACGCCUAAGCGUCGCCUAGGCGACGCCUUAGGGACGCCUUGAAAACAGAGGGUAUGAGACACUAUCUUUUUGUUAUUAGUCGACGAAUUGUGACUCAUGUAAACUCACUAAUGUAAAUAAUAGUUAUUCUUAACUCAAACCAUAAAUGUAGGCACUCAGCAGAAUAAAUUGUACCUAAAAUGAUCGAAAUAGAUAAAAGUACUCAAGGAUGCUAGAAAAAAAUGUUUUACUGGAGCAGAGCAUUACAAGAACUUACUACGACGAAUCAAGAAAACCUACUAAAUCAGGUAAUCCAUCCGAGUUCUUUUGAGAUAUGAUAUCUUCGAAGAAAACCUGACCCUUGAGACCUGCAAUGACAUUUGAAUAUUUGAUUCAUAUCAAUUAUAAUGAAGUAACAUUUGACUUAUUUGUGUCACUUAGUUUUAUCACAAUGCUAGCAUUGAGUUUUAGUUUUAUCACAAUGCUAACAUUGAGUUUCUGGGUAAAUUUUCUGAUUUUGUGUUCAUAGCUAUAGGCCUACAAUAGAUCGCCUGCAAGAAAAUAUUAAAUUAUCAUACAUGCCAUGUGAUGAUUAUCACAAAACAAUGGAAUUACGGAUAGAAACUGGAUAAUAGUAAAUGAAGAUGGGCGCCAAGAAGAAAAUAUCAACGUCACAUGAGCUCCGCGUGAUAAAGAAGGAUACCAAGAUCUAUUUCAAUAUCUGAUGGCUCAGGGGAUAAAUGAACAGAGACAAAUGUGCAACAAGGAAAAGAAAAAGAUGUACGAGAGAACAAAAACCAGUUCAACCAAAAAUAACUACUAGGGGACGAAGAUGAAGAUUCAGAUGUCCAUUAUGGCCAAAGAAAACCUAAUGUUAAUGCAGCCAUUAGACAACACACUUAUCCACAAAUAAGUUGAUUAGUAGCUUAUCCUGUGAAAGUCGGACUAUAUGUAUUUCCCCAAAUAAAGAGCCUAAGAAUACUAGACAUUGGUCAAGAUAAGGAUGAUACUUAUUGGAUAGUAAGGGUCCGAAUGUUAGCACUAUUCAAUGCAUGUCAAAUUGCAAUUAUUCGGAAAAAACUUCUUCAAUAUAUGUUUCUGGCAAUAGCACUUCUAUAUCACACUAACAUUUUCAGUUCAUGAGAAGCAUAAGAAAACCUCCAAUGUUAUUAGCUUGGCCUGCAAAUGAUCAACCAUUGUUUGUUUAACAACAUAUAUAUGAACUAAGCUUCUUAUACUACAUGCAAGUCUUCUCGCUUUGUCUAUUACUAAUACAUACAAGUAAUAUUUUCUCAGAUAUGACAACAACAAAUCAAAAUAAUAUACUUUUUAGUCCAAAUUGGGAAAAAACACCUGUGAGGAGUCGGUUUCUAUGAAGGAAGAAAAAUAUAUAGUCCGGCAAAUCGCUUCUACCAGCGGACACACUUCUCAUCUUACUAAGUAUUUCUCUCCCAAUCUUUUUUUUUGUGGGGGCUCCCGAUCUACUUCUACAAAUCUAGCUCCGCCAACCAAUACCUGACAAUAGCUGGAAGGAAAACCUCUAUAUUGUGCCGCAGAUCCAGCACGUGUACAUCAACCUCCCCUUCGGCAAGCAAAUUUUGGGCUGAACGCUGCCCUCCCAUUGAUGGCCCUCCUCCAUCGAGCUGAGACCCAGCCACACAAGUUUGCCUCUGCUGCGUGCCCCAUUCUAGGUCGCCAUGAUUAGGGCUCGCGUUUAGUACCUGAGGACGAGAAAUUAUAAAAACAGUAGCGAGAAGUGACAUCAGAGAAGGUCAGGAGUUAGAUUCCUGGAAUACAUUAGCUAGAUCUUACUUCGCUGGCUGCUAAUCACAACUGGUGGCGCAUGUGGGUGAGGAGGACUAAAGGGGAUCGACUGAGAGGAGAGGAAGAUGCAG
rnacentral:lncRNA from 1 species